CAUUUGUAAUCGCUGAAUUCCAAUGGGAACGGGGGAACCAAUCUUGAUGUGGUAAUGUACCACUGGGGUGAAUCCUUUGUAAAGGUAGGGUGACUCUUAACAUCCGAAUCCGACAGCUAACCCCGUAAGCGUUUAAAGAGAUAACAA
rnacentral:sRNA from 2 species